ACAUCCAGCCAUACCACCCUGAACACGCCCGAUCUCCUCUGAUCUUAGAAGCUAAGCAGGGUCGAGUCUGGUUAGUACUUGGACGGGAGUAUUCUCCAAACUUCUUUCCAAAAGGUCACAUUAGCUUGCAUUC
rfam:Otolemur garnettii contig092843, whole genome shotgun sequence.